rnacentral:lncRNA from 1 species
AUUUAAUCAAGCCUUAAAAUGCCAUUAAGGAGCUGGUUAAAAGAUGGUGUCUAUUCAGCUGGUCAAGGACAACUCAAGAGUCAUUUGUAAGCCAUUAAAGACAUUCAAAUCAGCUAAAUUGAAGUGAUUUUAUGGAAGGAGUUAUUUGGUUCAAGCAUAAGAAAAGACAUGAGUUUUUAUGGUACAUUAAGUUGGAUGUUUUAGACCAUUCGGUUACCUUGUUCUAGCAUUAUAAAUAGAUGUAAUAAGCCUUAGUGAUGGAACUUUUGCUGAAUAUAGAUGAAAUAUUUGAAUUGUGA